rnacentral:lncRNA from 1 species
ACUCUAUUAUCUUUGCUCAAAGAGCAGACAGUGCUCUAGCUGUUUUCCCCUGCUUAGCUUUGAUCCCUGCAGCCAUGCUCAGCCCUUCCCCCAAGCCCUCCCUUCCAGAUGGAUUGAGGCUGUUGAGACUCCAGGGGUGUUCGGGGCUGGGAGCCUGCUGAGUGUUCCCUGUUCCCACCUCCAAUCUGCUCCAUCCUCCAGCUGCAUUUCAUUCCGGAUCUACCAGAUACAGAAGAUGAGAGAGAGAAAAAGAGAGAAAUUACAGAGUGACGGAGAAGGCAGACAUCAUGCAACAUGCUCAAGGGCUAUUCAUUUUAAGCUGAAACAUACAUGUGUAGAAAGCAUCCUUGUACUUAUAAUCCCAAUGACUAUGAAGAAAAAUAAUUUAGCCAAAUAGUUCCUAGAACAGGAAAAAUAAGGAAUUAUAUUUUGAGAUAAGAAGUUAAGCUCUAGUAUAACAAUGAUAUGGGUCAAAGAAAAAUGAAAACAAAUUUUAAAAACGUUGCAACAUGAAUAAAAGUUUCACCAAAUCGGGAGUCUAUUAUAAGCAUGUUUUGAGUUAUUUUCUUUCCCAAAGACUUCAUUUUUGUUUCAAUUUAUUUCAGUAGUAUACACUUCUGAAAAUAUUUAACUAAUGUCGUACUGGUUCUCGUAAAAGGUGAGGUGGAGCAAUUCCAUUAAGCUAUAGUGAGGUGAAGAGAGAAUAUCUGGUGAAUGAAUUUGAAAUAAGCUCCUUCGCGAUAUG